ACGAACGCUGGCGGCGCGCCUAACACAUGCAAGUCGAACGGAGCUUAGAGAGCUUGCUUUUUAAGCUUAGUGGCGAACGGGUGAGUAACGCGUGAGUAACCUGCCCUAGAGUGGGGGACAACAGUUGGAAACGACUGCUAAUACCGCAUAAGCCCACGGUACCGCAUGGUACUGAGGGAAAAGGAUUUAUUCGCUUUAGGAUGGACUCGCGUCCAAUUAGCUAGUUGGUGAGGUAACGGCCCACCAAGGCGACGAUUGGUAGCCGGACUGAGAGGUUGAACGGCCACAUUGGGACUGAGACACGGCCCAGACUCCUACGGGAGGCAGCAGUGGGGGAUAUUGCACAAUGGGGGAAACCCUGAUGCAGCGACGCCGCGUGGAGGAAGAAGGUUUUCGGAUUGUAAACUCCUGUCGUUAGGGACGAUAAUGACGGUACCUAACAAGAAAGCACCGGCUAACUACGUGCCAGCAGCCGCGGUAAAACGUAGGGUGCAAGCGUUGUCCGGAAUUACUGGGUGUAAAGGGAGCGCAGGCGGGAAGACAAGUUGGAAGUGAAAACCAUGGGCUCAACCCAUGAAUUGCUUUCAAAACUGUUUUUCUUGAGUAGUGCAGAGGUAGAUGGAAUUCCCGGUGUAGCGGUGGAAUGCGUAGAUAUCGGGAGGAACACCAGUGGCGAAGGCGGUCUACUGGGCACCAACUGACGCUGAGGCUCGAAAGCAUGGGUAGCAAACAGGAUUAGAUACCCUGGUAGUCCAUGCCGUAAACGAUGAUUACUAGGUGUUGGGGGAUUGACCCCCUCAGUGCCGCAGUUAACACAAUAAGUAAUCCACCUGGGGAGUACGACCGCAAGGUUGAAACUCAAAGGAAUUGACGGGGGCCCGCACAAGCAGUGGAGUAUGUGGUUUAAUUCGAAGCAACGCGAAGAACCUUACCAAGUCUUGACAUCCCUUGACGAACAUAGAAAUAUGUUUUCUCUUCGGAGCAAGGAGACAGGUGGUGCAUGGUUGUCGUCAGCUCGUGUCGUGAGAUGUUGGGUUAAGUCCCGCAACGAGCGCAACCCUUAUUGCCAGUUACUACGUUAAGAGGACUCUGGCGAGACUGCCGUUGACAAAACGGAGGAAGGUGGGGAUGACGUCAAAUCAUCAUGCCCUUUAUGACCUGGGCUACACACGUACUACAAUGGCGUUAAACAAAGAGAAGCAAGACCGCGAGGUGGAGCAAAACUCAAAAACAACGUCUCAGUUCAGAUUGCAGGCUGCAACUCGCCUGCAUGAAGUCGGAAUUGCUAGUAAUCGCGGAUCAGCAUGCCGCGGUGAAUACGUUCCCGGGCCUUGUACACACCGCCCGUCACACCAUGGGAGUCAGUAACGCCCGAAGUCAGUGACCCAACCGUAAGGAGGGAGCUGCCGAAGGUGGGACCGAUAACUGGGGUG
rnacentral:rRNA from 1 species